ACACGACUACAUUAGAUACCCGUGUAGUCCUAGCCGUAAACGAUACUCGCUAGGUGUCGGCCACGGUGCGACCGUUGUCGGUGCCGUAGGGAAGCCGUGAAGCGAGCCACCUGGGAAGUACGGCCGCAAGGCUGAAACUUAAAGGAAUUGGCGGGGGAGCACAACAACGGGUGGAGCUUGCGGUUUAAUUGGAUUCAACGCCGGAAAUCUUACCGGGACCGACAGCAACAUGAAAGCCAAGCUGAAGACUUUGCCGGAUUAGCUG
rnacentral:rRNA from 1 species